rnacentral:rRNA from 1 species
AUUGAACGCUGGCGGCAGGCCUAACACAUGCAAGUCGAGCGGAUGAAGGGAGCUUGCUCCUGGAUUCAGCGGCGGACGGGUGAGUAAUGCCUAGGAAUCUGCCUGGUAGUGGGGGAUAACGUCCGGAAACGGGCGCUAAUACCGCAUACGUCCUGAGGGAGAAAGUGGGGGAUCUUCGGACCUCACGCUAUCAGAUGAGCCUAGGUCGGAUUAGCUAGUUGGUGGGGUAAAGGCCUACCAAGGCGACGACCCGUAACUGGUCUGAGAGGAUGAUCAGUCACACUGGAACUGAGACACGGUCCAGACUCCUACGGGAGGCAGCAGUGGGGAAUAUUGGACAAUGGGCGAAAGCCUGAUCCAGCCACGCCGCGUGUGUGAAGAAGGUCUUCGGAUUGUAAAGCACUUUAAGUUGGGAGGAAGGGCAGUAAGUUAAUACCUUGCUGUUUUGACGUUACCAACAGAAUAAGCACCGGCUAACUUCGUG